CCCUUAGAUGUUCUGGGCUGCACGCGCGCUACACUGAUGCGUUCAACGAGUUUUCAUCCUUGCCCGGUAGGGUUGGGUAAUCUUCUGAAAACGCAUCGUGAUGGGGAUAGAUUAUUGUAAUUAUUAAUCUUCAACGAGGAAUUCCUAGUAAGCGCGAAUCAUCAGUUCGUGCUGAUUACGUCCCUGCCCUUUGUACACACCGCCCGUCGCUCCUACCGAUUGAGUGAUCCGGUGAGGCUUUGGGAUCUGAGCGGAAAGAGCGUUUCGCUGUUUCUGCUCGGAAAACUCAGUCGAACCUUAUCAUUUAGAGGAAGGAGAAGUCGUAACA
rnacentral:rRNA from 1 species